AAUAAAUGUCAUUUCCGAGGGAGAUGGCGGUGCAGCGGGAGAAGCAGCUGCUCCCAGUCGCCUUUGCUCUCUUUCUUGCUGUGUCCACAGUCCUUGAAUUUGCCUGAUGCAUAGCAGCUGGAUGACUUCAUUCUUUACUAUUUGGGAGGAUGAAGCCCAGCGCCAGCCGGAAGCUACCUUUGCAGCAAAUGAGAGAUUCCUUCCGUCUCUGAAAUUCUCAUGCUCGGAGAGCUGUCCCUCCAAGGCCAGUGGUCAAGAGAGGGGACUGUGUGUUGGGGGUGUGUGGGGAGGGGCAGAGGCUCAUCCCCCAGGCAAGGAGGCCAGAACAAGCUGCAGUGCAAAAGGCCUUUGGAAAGACUGGAGAUUUCUCAGGUGUUGGGGACCCCGUAGACUUCCAAGUUGUGGAUGAGGCUGGUGAGUGAGGCAUCUGCCCCACAGACCACACUCAUCUAGUGCAGAGGUGGUCUGCUAGCCUUCUGUCACUCAGGAAGUGUUUGUCAUACCAGUGGGGACCAUGAAAACCCUGAAACCCAAAGGCUCAGGCCCAGAGGUGGACAAGAGUCUUAAAAUACACAAGGGUGCCUCCCAAGUUUUUCUUUGCUUUGACCAACAUUGACGGAGCACCUGUUAUACAAGGGAACUGCGUGUGUGCGUGCUAAGUUCUUCUGUCCUGUCUCUUUGUGACCCCAUGGACUGUAGCCCGCCAGGUUCCUCUGUCCAUGAGAUUCUCCAGGCAGGAAUACUGGAGUGGGUUGCCGUGCUCCUCCAGGGGGGCUUCCCGACACAGGGGUCCAGCCUCAUCUCCGGUGGCUCCUGCACUGCAAGCGGAUUCUUCACCACUGAGCCACUGGGGACGCUCAAGGGGAACCGCACCAGCAUCCAGAGGCUGUAGCUGCUGCUGGCGACACAUGGAUGAAAAGUCCAAACGGGAGCUGCUGUCAUGUUCUCCAGAGCCCAGAGCACCUCUAGGAACACAGGGACUCCAGUCUACUUAUUUGGCACUUACCUGCCCAGGCUGACCUUCUCAUCUAAGACCAGACUUGAACACAAAGCCUGGAGGCUUGGUGCUCAGAAAUGGGGCAGAAGGAGGGGAUCCUCCAGGGGAGCCCCGAGGCCCUUUCUCCUGUGUCUUACUGGCUUCCAAGAAAACCAAGGUGUGUCUGACUGAGCUUGGCUGUGUGUGUCGCGUGAAUCCUCUCCCUCCUGGGGCUGGGCGGUGUGUUCUGUCUGCCCCCUACCCUGUCCAGUGCCUCCAUCUCCCUCCCCAGUCAGAGCUCCACCAGGGUGAGUGCUCGCUUUGUGCAAAGCAGUGUGUGGCUGGGGGAGAGGUGAGCCAGGUCUGACCCGGCCUCAGAGAGAAAGGGGACCAGUGGGCCCUGCUCAGACUCUCCCAGCUCAAGCCAGUGCUCCCCCUCUGAGCAGGUCUUGAGCUGUGGACACGUGGGGCACAUUCUUCAUUAUCUGGGUCUCUCUCGUGAGCAUCAGUGAGCUCAGAGUGCACUGUAAAAACAGCUUUAACACAGAUGCCUUGUGGGGAAUGGUGGACCAAUUGUACCCCAGAUCCUUUAAGGUGAUGUCUGAUGUGUGCACGCAUGCUCAGUCAUGUUUGACUCUUUGCGACCCCAUGGACUGCAGUCCACCAGGCUCGUCUGUCUAUGGAAUUCUCCAGGCAAGAAUACUGGAGUGGGUUGCCAUGUCUU